rnacentral:tRNA from 1 species
GUGAACGUAGCUCAGUUGGCAGAGCAUCCGGUUGUGGUCCGGACGGUCGAGGGUUCGAGCCCCUUCGUUCACCCCA